rnacentral:misc_RNA from 1 species
GUGAAUCAUCGAAUUUUUGAACGCAAAUUGCACUCUCUGGCAUUCCGGAGAGUAUGUCUGUUUGAGGGUCUGUAUAAAUAACAAUCGAGGUGUUGCUGUGUUGUGAUCCACCGGAAUUGGGUUAUCUUUGAUCUUUUAAAAAUUUUAAGUUACCUAAAAUUGAUACCUUGUGCUUCUCAGACGUA